GCCUCUGUGGUGUAGUGGUAGCACGCGUCCCCGGCAUGGAUGAAAUACGGGUUCAACUGCUGCCUGACUCUCAUACCCUUUGGGGACC